UUAUUAUUUGCUUGUUAUUUUUUGCUAUGGCUAUAAGAGAAUGAAUGUAUUCACCCAUUCUGCAUGUUGUCCCAGCCUCUUAAUUGCAGAGAAGGAUUAAACACUGAAAAUGUGUGCGUUUGUGUGUGUGAUGGUUUUGGCUCAGACAGAGUUAAUUUUCUUCAUAGAGGAAACACAAUGUAGUGUCUUCGAUUUUUGAUGAAAAUAAUGGUGAUAGCACAUUGAUGUCUGUAGUUGUUGCAGAGCGGUGCUUACACAGAACCAAGGACUUUUUAGUUCUGGCAAGGAGGCUGGGGGCACACCAGGUGCUGAGAGGGGACACAGCCAAGACAGCUGGCCCAGGCUGCCCAACGGGAUGUCCUAUGUCAUGUAGAGUCAUGCUCAGCAAUGUAAGUUGAGUGAAAGGAGGAGGAAGUGGGGGAUGUGCAGAGUGAUGGUAUUUGUCUUCCCAAGAAACUAUUCUGCAUGAUGAACUCUGCUGUCCUGGGAGUGGCUGAGCACCUGCCUGGUGGUGGGAAGUAGCAAAUAAAUUCCUACAACUAAUUUCUUAGACACAAGAUUGAAUGAAGUACACGAAUGCAUAAGGAAGUAGACCACUCUGCCUUUUUAAUUCAUCCUCCUUCCCAUCCAGCUGUAAAAUCACCUGUAAAUUCAUUGUCCUUUUUGACUUCAGUACCAGAACAUGCAGUACCUCAACACAUGCCAAAACCAAGAGCAGAAAAGAAAAGCCCUCUAUGGAGCAGAAAAUGAAGCUACAUCCAAGGAUUUUGAGGUGGCUUUUAUUUACAAAAAGGAUAUAUCUUAUCCUGUUGAAUGAGGUAUGGUUUUUGUUUGUUUGGUAGAUUUUUGGUUUUGUCACCUUUGUGAUUACUUUUCUUUUUAUGAAGGUUUUGCAAUAUGUAGCUAGAUAGAUGCCCACUAAAUGCAGUUAUACAGUUGAUCCAUUUAUUAUCUCGCAGCUCAUUAUAUGUUGUAUUUUAUCAUUUGUUUCUGUAUGGAAUAUUAGACAGUUAACAUGUCACCUUUAGCUCAUGUCCAGAAG
rnacentral:lncRNA from 1 species